rnacentral:rRNA from 1 species
CUAGGCGUCGACCGGCGCACGGGUGAGUAACGCGUAUCCAACCUGCCCAUCACUUGGGGAUAACCUUGCGAAAGUAAGACUAAUACCCAAUGACGUCUCUAGAAGACAUCUGAAAGAGAUUAAAGAUUUAUCGGUGAUGGAUGGGGAUGCGUCUGAUUGGCUUGUUGGCGGGGUAACGGCCCACCAAGGCGACGAUCAGUAGGGGUUCUGAGAGGAAGGUCCCCCACAUUGGAACUGAGACACGGUCCAAACUCCUACGGGAGGCAGCAGUGAGGAAUAUUGGUCAAUGGACGAGAGUCUGAACCAGCCAAGUAGCGUGCAGGAAGACGGCCCUAUGGGUUGUAAACUGCUUUUAUAAGGGAAUAAAGUGAGUCUCGUGAGACUUUUUGCAUGUACCUUAUGAAUAAGGACCGGCUAAUUCCGUGCCAGCAGCCGCGGUAAUACGGAAGGUCCGGGCGUUAUCCGGAUUUAUUGGGUUUAAAGGGAGCGUAGGCCGGAGAUUAAGCGUGUUGUGAAAUGUAGACGCUCAACGUCUGCACUGCAGCGCGAACUGGUUUCCUUGAGUACGCACAAAGUGGGCGGAAUUCGUGGUGUAGCGGUGAAAUGCUUAGAUAUCACGAAGAACUCCGAUUGCGAAGGCAGCUCACUGGAGCGCAACUGACGCUGAAGCUCGAAAGUGCGGGUAUCGAACAGGAUUAGAUACCCUGGUAGUCCGCACGGUAAACGAUGGAUGCCCGCUGUUGGUCUGAAUAGGUCAGCGGCCAAGCGAAAGCAUUAAGCAUCCCACCUGGGGAGUACGCCGGCAACGGUGCAACUCAAAUGAAUUGACG